rnacentral:rRNA from 1 species
AGCUCCAAUAGCGUAUAUUAAAGUUGUUGCAGUUAAAAAGCUCGUAGUUGGAUUUGUGGUUCGUCCCGCCGGCUGGGUCUUUGACUUUUGCUGUGCUGGUCGUCCAUCCUUGGGUGGAAUCUGUGUGGCAUUAGGUUGUCGCGCAGGGGAUGCCCAUCGUUUACUGUGAAAAAAUUAGAGUGUUCAAAGCAGGCUUAUGCCGUUGAAUAUAUUAGCAUGGAAUAAUGAUAUAGGACCUUGGUACUAUUUUGUUGGUUUGCGCACUGAGGUAAUGAUUAAUAGGGACAGUUGGGGGUAUUCGUAUUCCAUUGUAAGAGGUGAAAUUCUUGGAUUUUUGGAAGACGAACUACUGCGAAAGCAUUUACCAAGGAUGUUUUCAUUAAUCAAGAACGAAAGUACG